GGAGAAGUCGCGUAGCUGGCCGAGCGCGCACGAUUGGAAAUCGUGUAAACCCCAAAAGGGUUUCGAGGGUUCAAAUCCCUCCUUCUCCGCCA
rnacentral:tRNA from 1 species